rnacentral:tRNA from 1 species
GUGGUUGUAGCUCAGUCGGGUAAGCGCUUGCUUCUUAUGAAAGAGAUGCGGAUUCAUAUUCCGGCCAUGAAAAGUAACUACA